GGCUUUUUUUAAAUUAAAGUAUUUACAAAAAAAUAACAAAUAAACGUGGAAAUUAUGAUAAGAACGCUGUGAUUUUCGACUGUGUUUAUGGACAACAUGUUAAUUAUAAUCAUAAUAUUCCUUUGAUAUAGGCUUUUAGUUGUAAUCUCAAAAGCGAACUAAAUGCAAUUGAUAGAGCAGAUCAUAGGAAGAACCAGGGGGUGUGCAGGGUAUGCGAAGGCACCCCCUAAACGCACAGACAAUUUAGUGUGGAGUUCAAACGUCGUAUGAUAUUGUGAUUUAUCAAUGAGGAGAAGGACAAAAAUAUUCGCACCCUCUGAACGUGAAGGCUGGCUCCGCUUAUGGAGCAGAUAUAUGUAUAAGCACAACAUAAUAUUAUGGCUAUAUAGUUAUU